GGGUAUAUUUCAGUGGUAUAUCACUUGUCUACAACGCAUGUGGCCCUGGGUUCAAUCCUCAGCACCACA
rnacentral:tRNA from 1 species